UCGUUUCUGGCAGACCUUGAUGAAUUAUCUGGUAAAGGGGCUCAUCCUGUGAGUAUGUGAUCUUUUUCUUCUGUUUGUAUAUGUUCAUUUGCCGAUAGAAUUCUUGUGUCGGUAAAACUUCAUUGGUUAUAGUUUAUUCGUGUUUUUUGUUGCAGUUCAAACUUCAUUCUGUUAUCCUGUUAUUUCUUAUGCAUAGGGUUUAUAGUGCUUUCUUUCCAGAAUGAGAAUAAUGGGGGAAGAUGAGGACUUGGGAGAAGAUGUAGAUGUGGACUUAACAGACAUAGAAGCACUUAAUUACAAUGAUCUGGAUGGUAUUUCCAAACUACUGAAUACACAUCAUUAAACUCAUAUUAUGCAGGUUUCUUUAUUUUGUGAAUUUACAUUUUCGGGUUCUGGAUCAAUUAAAAAGGGUGUGUUGCUGUCCUGAACAAAUUUCGAGCUAUCCAGAUCUUCCUUCAUAAUCACUAUGCCCUUUUUACAAUGUCACUUUGCUUGUAUGCUGCCUCAACAAAUAGCUUCUUCCAUUUUUUUUCUUCAAUAACAUAGAGCAUUAACUCGAUUUCCAUAUUAAUUAUAAUGUUACUUAUUUUGGUGAAUCUUUUGCAAGGGUAUAAGCAAUGAAGAGAAGUUGUAUUCCAAGAGAGCUGCUGUGACAUUCGACAGAAGAAAACCAUCGUGUAAAUUUUGUUCAUUUCAUGUUUCUAUUUUUUACUUUUCAUAGUUACUUAUAGUUCAUUAGAGACAGUAGCUUAUAGGCCAACAUUCUCUUUGUAAAUGAGUUAUAGGUUGCAAUUUCAUCAUACUAGCUCAGAGCCA
rnacentral:lncRNA from 1 species